rnacentral:lncRNA from 1 species
UCAUCCAAGCGCCGGAUCUACCCUUUCUCGACCUCAAACUGCAACGGACAGCAACUGCAGAAAAUGGGUAUGGCAGCACCUAUUUGGCCCGUUUUGGCCGUCUCCCGAGCUCGGAUGCUCGGCCCGCCUUGAGGAAAGUCGAUCCUCGCGUCAUCCUCGUCGUUUUGGUUCGCUCGGCUCGUUAAUCCGGUGAGUUUAGCCCACUAAACCUCGCUUAGAGGGUUAAUUAUGCUUAGGGAGGUUUAGUUUAUUAGGUUGUUAGUUUAGGUUAAUUAAGAGUAGAUUUGGUUAAGGUGGUGGUUUAAUUUAAAGUGUGCUUAAUUAAGGGUAAGUAGGUUUAUUUAAAAUAAGCCUUGAUUUGACAUAAAUGAAUUUACUUUUGAUUUAUUUAAAUGUCUCGAAAUUAUUAAGUAAUUUAAUAAUAUAUUUUAUUCGAAAUUCAUAAAAUAUUAUUAUUUAAUUAUUUUCGGAAUAAAUUUAAUUAUUAAAUAAAUUCCGAAAAUUAAGUUGGGACCCUAAAUUCUCAUAAUUUUGUGUUGAUCGCUGCUGUGUAUUCAGAUUAUAAAUUUGAUGAUUAGAUAUUACAAAUUGAGUGAUGAUUUGUGCAAUUAAUUAUUGAAUUGUUGUGUGCUGGUUGAAAGACUCGGGUCGCAGUAGUGGCUAGGCCGACUGGACCUUUGUUCUUCUAGAAAUGCCGUCAAGGGAGAGUGACGUGACUCGGGUCGCAGUAGUGGCUAGGUCGACUGGACCUUUGUUCUUCUAGAAAUGCCGUCAAGGGAGAGUGACGUGGCUCGAGUCGCAGUAGUGGCUAGGCCGACUGGACCUUUGUUCUUCUAGAAAUGCCGUCAAGGGAGAGUGACGUGGCUCGGGUCGCAGUAGUGGCUAGGCCGACUGGACCUUUGUUCUACUAGAAAUGCCUUCAAGGGAGAGUGACGUGGCUCGGGUCGCAGUAGUGGCUAGGCCGACUGGACCUUUGUUCUUCUAGAAAUGCCAUCAAGGGAGAGUGACGUGGCUCGGGUCGCAGUAGUGGCUAGGCCGACUGGACCUUUGUUCUUCUAGAAAUGCCGUCAAGGGAGAGUGACGUGGCUCGGGUCGCAGUAGUGGCUAGGCCGACUGGACCUUUGUUCUUCUAGAAAUGCCGUCAAGAGAGUGACGUGGCUCGGGUCGCAGUAGAGGCUAGGCCAACUAGACCCAUGCUCCUUCGAGAAUGCCGUCGAUGUAUUGACGAAGCUGCGCUCCAAGGUGGGGAGGCGAUGCCUGGUUAUAUGCCAGUAGAUAGCUGAACUGCGAGUAAGCUAUGCCCUUGUUGGCCGUGAAUGACAAUUGGAAUGCAAGUUGAGUGUUGUUGAUGGAUCGGAUUAUGGGACGGAAUUGUGCGGCAGGGAAUGGGACGUGUCAUAACAAUUUAGUCUUAUAAUCAGAACCCCCAUGGUUGUUGGUUAUAUGAAAGUGAAUGCGUUUUGGUUGUUUAAGUUCCUAUUACUAUCUGUGAUUGAGCGAUUUGAAUUGUGCUAACUUGUAUGAAAGAAUUGAGGCGAGGUAAGUUCUCUAUGUGAUGUGGCUAGGCCACCCUUGAGUGUAUUUUCUUUCUAAUAGGGGUUUAGGGGGUUGAACUUGCUGAGACAUCGUCUCAUCCCAGUUGUGGGAUUAAAAUUUCAGGUCCCUGGUGGACGGAGUGACCAAAUAGCUUUGGUUGGCCUUGAGGAGUUGCAGAGGUGAAGUCAUAAGAUUGGAGAACGGGUCCGACUUGUAGGUCGUAGGAUAAUUCAUUUUUAAGAGCCGGUCUUUUGUAGACUUUUGGCCGCAGACCUCUGUUUGUAAUUCUGUUGAAUUAUGGAAGUGUUAUGUUGUGGCUUUGCUUCCUGAUUUUCUAUCCCGUAUUUUAUUGUUAGGGGUUUUAUAAUACGUUCCGCUUGCGCAUUAAUAAAUGUAUGGGGUCGGCGACACUACCUGGGAAUGUCGCAUUGGAAUGACCAUGGUGGGAUGUUGAUGCGCUCGAGGUUCGGGGCGUGACAUCCCCGUUUAAGUGGUAUCAGAGCCUGGUCUGUGUAUGGAGUGAUAAGGUGCAAUGAGUCAUGGGAUAGUUAGUAGGAAAGGCUUUGAAUAUGCUAAUGCAUGUGGUUGAUAGCUGUUUGGUAAAGUGUUUGUGGGGACACUCAAAUUCUAACAUGAUAUUGGAAUCGGAAAACGGGUGUCUAUAAAGAGCCUGUAGGAUGAGUGACCAGGAGCGGAGAACUCCUUGGAAGAGGUCGAUAGGACCUGCACCUCAGGGUAGGAUGCUGACAAGAGUCGGUACCCGAGGUAAAGCGCAGGUUUAGUCCAGCGCGAGUGUGAGGGUACCGCCGUAGGCUGGUAUUGAGAGUGUAGCAGCAUCGAAUGAUCCUAGGUUCGUUGGGAUCGUUCAAGCGCUAGUGUUCCUUGGAAGCUUGUUGGGUCAGUAAGUUCAGGACCAAGCCGCUGCUGUUGCUGUUAUUUCUACCGCUACCAGUGUUGUGACCGCUGUUGUUGUUGCGCCUGUUGAGGCCCAAUCUGGAGUUGUGAUCGAGGAUCAAGCCUCCGUUUCUGAGUCAAAGUUCAGCUUAGAUAGAGAUGAAAAUUGAUUGGGAAGAAAGGCCGAUGUCAGAAGAAAGAUGCCCUGUUUCACCCAACCGGAAGAGUAGAGUUGGAAAGUCAGUGCUCAACUCGAUCGAUGCGUGUCAUGUCUGUAAGAAAAGACAUGGAUCUGUUUCGUGCUGUAAGAGGGAAAAGACUUGUUACAGGUGUCGCCAGUAAAUCCAUUUGAUUAAAGAUGGCUCGUAUAGAUGGAUGGAAUCAUAGCUGUUUCUGCACUGCCGUUGAUGAGACAGAACAGAGAAAGUAUGCUUCGGGACAUUUAAUGGGGUACUUGGAACAGACCCCAGUGUAAAGAAGGGUGCAUGAUAUUCCUUGAUAGGAGGUAAAUAACUCCCUGAUUGUGUGCCGAGUCAGUGGAAAGGAGGCAUGAGUCAGCCUAGUGUCAGAGUAAAAAAAAAAAAGGAGCAUGAUUUGAAUAUGGCCAGCACAGCUGUCAUGUUGAGAACUAACUGUGAAAGUUCAGGUGAGCGUAAGCACUGUUACUGCAGAUUGGACGCCGCUAGGAUGGCUAGAGGAGCAUGAAGGGAUCGACCAUGCAUCAAUCAGAAGAAAAAUGUUUUUGAGAUGUUAUCAGAGUAGUGCAGCAGAAUUUUCAGUGAAGGUUAUAGGAUUUUCGUUGUGGUAAUAAAGUGGUAGAAAGAUGAGUCUCUUACUAUAGUUGUACUUGAAGGGUUGCUUAAGUAUGACUUGGAAGUCAUUUAUGAAAGGGUUUGGCUCAAGGAGCUUUCUGUUGUUUUGAAUCGUAGUAGUAACAUAAUUCAGUUUGUUUAGUUAGCAUGUGAAAGUUUUGAAUCACUGAAAGUUGAAGAGGAACUUCAACCCUUGUUGUUCGUCGCUGAAGAUGACGUGGUUCUAGUUGUUGGUUACCAAAUAUGCAUGGCAACUGUAAUAGAUGCGUCAGUUGAGAAGCCAGAUAUGAGAAACUUAGCCAUGGUACAGAAGUUUUCUGAGGUGUGUCAGGAAGAAUUGCUAAGUCUGCUGUCAGAAAAAGAAAUAGAGUUCGUGCUUGAAUUAGCACCCGGAACAGAGCCAAUCCCUAAGGCUCCUUACCGGAUGGUGUCACCCGAGUUAAAAGAACUGAAGGUGCAGAUUAAUGAAGUGUUGAAUAGGGGAUUCAUACGUCCAGUGUAUCACCUUGGGGAGCACUUGUUCUAUUCGUGAAGAAGAAAGUUGGUUCGCCGUGUUUGUAUGUCGAUAUUCCUCAAGAUCGACUGGAGGUCAUGGUAUCAUUAGUUGAGGAUCAGGAAAAAGGGACAUACCGAAGUUAGCAUCUUGCGCUCGAUACAGUAGUUAUGAGUUCACUGUAAUGCUGUGUGGUUUAAUGGACACCCCAGCUGUUUGUUUGGGUUCGAUGAGCAGAAUGUUUAAGGGUACUUGAAUCAGUUUUGAUCGUGUUCAUUGAAGUUAUCCUAGUGUGUUUGAAGAGUGCCGAGGGGCACGAGAGACGUUUAAGGAUGGUACUUCAGACCUUGAGUACUUUUGGAUUUUACAAUAAACUUAGCAAGUGUGAGUUUUGGAUGGCUUGUGUUGCGCUCUUAGGUCACGUGAUUUCAGGCGAAGAAAUCUCCGUAGACCCCAUCCAAGAUUGAAGCAGUGAAUAGUUGGUCGAGAUUGACGACAGUGACAGAGAUUAGAAGUUUCUGGAGAUUAGCAGGAUAUUACAGAAGUUUUGUGGAAGGGAUUUCAGCAUUAGCGUUGUAGUUGAUUCGGCUACUGAGGAAGUAAGAAAAGUUCGUGUGGACAGGUAAGUGCGAGUGUAGUUUUCAAGAACUUAAGCAAGAGCUAACUACCGCACCUGUGCUAACUGUUCCAUCUGGUCCAGGAGGGUUGAGAUCUACAGUGAUGCGUCGUUUAAAGGAUUGGGUUAGGUGUUGAUACAGCAUGAUAGAGUUGUUGCAUAUGUGUCCCGUCAGUUGAGACCUUAGGAGUGCAAUAUGAGACAACAUCGCUGGAUGGAACUCCUAAGGAUUAUGACUGAUAUUUUGUAUCACUCUGGAAGGGUGAGCAAAGUUGUAGAUGCACUAAGUUGAGAGUCAUCAGUUGCACAGUUGGUACUCGAGGAUUGGAUCUUACUCGAGGAAGAUCGAAAUUCGGUUUUUAAAUCUAUAGUAGGCCACCUUUUGAAUCUUAUGACUACCCUUAGAAUUGAGCCGAGAGUUCAUAUUAGAGUCAAAUCGCUUUAGUGGACAGAUUCAGAAUUUCAGAAGAUUCUAUAAGAGAAUGCAGACGAGAGAAAGGUUGAUUUUCAGAUUUCUGAAGAUAGGAUGCUAAGGUUCUGAGGAUGAUUGUGUGUAAUUGACGAUAUAGAGAUUAAAGAAGAGAUCUUAUGGGAAGCUCAUCAUAGCAACUUUAGCAUUGUCCAGACAGUAAGAAGAUGAGUCAAAAUCUACAUCAUUGGGAUUGGUAGAUCGGCAUGAAGAUAGAUAUCGCCAAUCAAGUUGUGAGUGUUGGAGAUAUUAGUAAGUGAGAAUUUGGCAAUGUAAGCAAGGAAAGCUUUUUCAAGAACUUGAGAGAGUCCCGUGUGGGAAUGGAAGUAUAGCAUGAUGGAAUGUUAUGAUAGGCUUAUUAAGGAGUCGGGAAGAGUAUUGAUUCCUUGUGGGGUUGUGGUCGAUAGAUGAUUAGAGUCAGCUCGCCUUAGUACAGCAUGAAAAGAUUUCGAUUAGAAUAGGCAUACCGAAGUGUGUGUAUAUCAUAUAAAUCAUCUGCAUUGAGUGCCGAAGAUGAAUUUUAUUCAAAUCUAGAUCAGAUGUUCCAAGUUUGCAAAGCUUUUAGAUAGUUCUUUCUUAAGCAGUGUAUAGCAAAGAGUGCAGAAUUUCAAUUGCUGAGAUGAAGUCAGGGAAAGAAAGAUCAUAGGUCAGGGUCAGUACUGUAGUCAGUGAUUGCAGUUGCCGAGUUAUAUCAGAUCUUGACCAGAGGUUUCCAGUUUCAGCAGAUCAGUCAGAUAGUUUCUUUCUAAUAAGUGCAGAGCAGAAUGUGCAAGACUUCAGUCGGUUGAGAUGAGAUCAGAGAUUAGAAAAUCGCAAGUUCGGAGUUGGUUCAGAAAUCAGUGAUUCAGUUGCAGUUAUCAGAGACAGUUUAGAGACUGCUCAGAAUCGCCAGUUUAGCUUCGUAGAUUUUAUGUUGAAGACCCUUGGAAUUUUAAGUGGGCAAGUGUUUAGUAUUUUACAUCCAAAGUGGUUUGGGCAAGAUAGCAGUGAUCUGACAACAUUGGUACAAAAGGAGUAACCUGAGAAAGAGAAGAUUAUAUGAGACGACAGUACCCCCACCUUUUGGUUUAAGAAUUGGUAAAGGUUUAAAUUUCGAGGAUGAAAUUUUUAUAAGAGGGGAAGAGUUGUGACAUCCCGAUUUUCCAAUUCUAUUUUCAAUAAAUUGAGACGGGUAUUUCGUUGGCACGCAUAUAGUUCUUUUCCUUGAGUCGACCACUCAUGUGAAAGCUAGUCUAUCAGGUGAAGUCAUUAAGAAAUUAUAAUGCAUCGGACUUGAGAAUUUGGACAGGAAGCGACCUUUCCACCGAGCUAAUCUGCAAUGGUCAUUACGACACAAAUAAAAAUCGAUUAGAGACCGGGGAUAGGUCGACUCGACAGAGGCAUGUGAUCGAGUAUGGGUGAUUCCAUCAGAUCGCAUAAUCCUUGUCGAUCGACACUGGGCCGACUUUUCUAUCGAUUGGGUACCUUGUGUCGUAUUUGAAACCUUGAGAUUACCCCGACAAUCGAAAAUCGCCAAUGUUUCAAAGAUGUACAUUGUGGCUUGAGAUGAUCAACCACAGGUCAGAUGCAUGAAAAUUUCUAAAAAACUACCCGGUACGUUGGGCCGUGCUAAUAUCGUGCCAAAGUGAAAUUAACCGUGAAAUUGAGAUCGAAUUCAGAAAUUGGAAGUCUGGGUGUGUCACAAAUCAUUUUAGGAACAUUGACUAAUCUUCGGAAGAUUUUUUCAUGCAAGCCGAGUUUUUCGGCAAAAUAAUCAAGGUAUGGCUAUUUUGGCUUGAGAAAUUAGUAGGCCCGCCUUUGGUCUUGCUUUUGGGACUUAAGUUGGUUCUAUAGACAAGUGAAGAUGUGAAUUGAAGUGUGGUGACAUCGGAUUAAUUUUAUGGACUUCAAUUUGAUUCAAUUGGAAGAGAAUUGAUGAGAAUUGAAGAAAUUGGAUGUACAAGAAUUGGACCCCGGCGGAAAAUGGAAUUGAACCCAUUGGAAUAAGGUUGUGGGAGUUUUGAGUGAGUGGAGUAUGACAUCAUCCAUGAGGUCAUGGUGGGCCAUUUUUGUGGGAUUAAAGAAAAGGGAAAAGAAAAGGGAAUGGUCCCAUCUCUCUCUCUCCUCCUUCUCUCUCCUUCCUCUCUCCCUUCCGUUGGUUUCUCCUCCAUCUUCUUUGUGCGGAAAGACCAGAAAAUUUGCAGAGGAAGAAGCCGAAGCAGUCCCUCGCCGUCCGCCUCCUUCGCCGCUCGUCGAUCGCUGCCGGUGCCAUCGUUAUCGCCGCCGUUCGCACGCACAGCCGCGCAUCCGCUCACCGUCGCCCUCUCUCCUCCAUCUCGGGUUCUUGCUCGAAGACCCAUCAAAUCUGAGCUUGUCGAAGAAGCUGCAGCCAUGGCCGUCGCUCGUCGCCCGUUCGCCGAAGCUCGCCGUCGUUGCCCGUCCGCUCGCGCUCGCCCACGCUUGGCCGACGCCCAGCUGUCUCCGUGGGCCUCUGCUCGUGUGUCCCGGGGGUUGUUCGGCCAGCUCAGGCCGCGAUUCAGUCACCUCCGGCCACCGUGAGUCCCGCCGGAGCUGCCGCCUCGCCCGCCAAGCUGCAGCCGCCGCUUCUCUGCCGUUCCUCCAUCUCAUCCAAGCGCCGGAUCUACCCUUUCUCGACCUCAAACCGCAGCGGACAGCAACUGCAAAAAAUGGGUAUGGCAGCACCUAUUUGGCCCGUUUUGGCCGUCUUCCCGAGCUCGGAUGCUCGGCCCGCCUUGAGGAAAGUCGAUCCUCACGUCAUCCUUGUCGUUUUGGUUCGCUCGGCUCGAUAAUCCGGUGAGUUUAGCCCACUAAACCUCGCUUAGAGGGUUAAUUAUGCUUAGGGAGGUUUAGUUUAUGUUAAGUAUUAUUAGGUUGUUAGUUUAGGUUAAUUAAGAGUAGAUUUGAUUAAGGUGGUGGUUUAAUUUAAAGUGUGCUUAAUUAAGGGUAAGUAGGUUUAUUUAAAAUAAGCCUUGAUUUGACAUAAAUAAAUUUACUUUUGAUUUAUUUAAAUGUCUCAAAAUUAUUAAGUAAUUUAAUAAUAUAUUUUAUUCGAAAGUAAUAAAAUAUUAUUAUUUAAUUAUUUUCGGAAUAAAUUUAAUUAUUAAAUAAAUUUCGAAAAUUAAGUUGGGACCCUAAAUUCUCAUAAUUUUGUGCUGAUCGCUGCUGUGUAUUCAGAUUAUGAAUUUGAUGAUUAGAUAUUACAAAUUGAGUGAUGAUUUGUGCAAUUAAUUAUUGAAUUGUUGUGUGCUGGUUGAAAGACUCGGGUCGCAGUAGUGGCUAGGCCGACUGGACCUUUGUUCUUCUAAAAAUGCCAUCAAGGGAGAGUGACGUGGCUCGGGUCGCAGUAGUGGCUAGGCCGACUGGACCUUUGUUCUUCUAAAAAUGCCAUCAAGGGAGAGUGACGUGGCUCGGGUCGCAGUAGUGGCUAGGCCGACUGGACCUUUGUUCUUCUAGAAAUGCUGUCAAGGGAGAGUGACGUGGCUCGGGUCGCAGUAGUGGCUAGGCCGACUGGACCUUUGUUCUUCUAGAAAUGCCGUCAAGAGAGUGACGUGGCUCGGGUCGCAGUAGAGGCUAGGCCAACUGGACCCAUGCUCCUUCGGGAAUGUCGUCGAUGUACUGACGAAGCCGCGCUCCAAGGUGGGGAGGCAAUGCCUGGUUAUAUGCCAGUAGAUAGCUGAACUGCGAGUAAGCUAUGCCCUUGUUGGCCGUGAAUGACAAUUGGAAUGCAUGUUGAGUGUUGUUGAUGGGUCGGAUUAUGGGACGGAAUUGUGCGGCAUGGAAUGGGACGUGUCAUAACAAUUUAGUCUUAUAAUCAGAACCCCCAUGGUUGUUGGUUAUAUGAAAGUGAAUGCGUUUUGGUUGUUUAAGUUCCUAUUACUAUCUGUGAUUGAGCGAUUUGAAUUGUGCUAACCUGCAGGAAAGAAUUGAGGCGAGGUAAGUUCUCUAUGUGAUGUGGCUAGGCCACCCUUGAGCGUAUUUUCUUUCUAAUAAGGGUUUAGGGGGUUGAACUUGCUGAGACAUCAUCUCAUCCCGGUUGUGGGAUUAAAAUUUCAGGUCCCUGGUGGACGGAGCGACCAAAUAGCUUUGGUUGGCCUUGAGGAGUUGCAGAGGUGAAGUCAUAAGA